rnacentral:tRNA from 1 species
GGAGGCGUGGCCGAGUGGUUUAAGGCAGCGGUCUUGAAAACCGCCGAUCGCAAGAUCCGUGGGUUCGAAUCCCUCCGCCUCCGCCA